CUUGCUAUUUUAAAUGUUAAAAACAAAAUCAAAAAUAUAAAAUAGCAGAAAAGAAUUCCUUUUAUUGAGGUGCCUUCUUCCAGUCUCGAGUUUGGCACAGCAGCUUAAACGGUUUAGGGCUGUGGCUCAAACCCACAAUGCCUUCUAGGUCUGGUGGGGAGGCAUCAUCUGGCCAGGAGAACUUGAGGUGCUGUAGAAGACUGCUGAAGAAGAUGAAAAGCUCCACACGGGCAAGCUGCUCUCCUGGACACAUUCG